rnacentral:rRNA from 1 species
AUUGAACGCUGGCGGCAGGCCUAACACAUGCAAGUCGAGCGGAUGACGGGAGCUUGCUCCUUGAUUCAGCGGCGGACGGGUGAGUAAUGCCUAGGAAUCUGCCUGGUAGUGGGGGACAACGUUUCGAGAGGAACGCUAAUACCGCAUACGUCCUACGGGAGAAAGCAGGGGACCUUCGGGCCUUGCGCUAUCAGAUGAGCCUAGGUCGGAUUAGCUCGUUGGUGGGGUAAUGGCUCACCAAGGCGACGAUCCGUAACUGGUCUGAGAGGGUGAUCAGUCACACUGGAACUGAGACACGGUCCAGACUCCUACGGGCGGCAGCAGUGGGGAAUAUUGGACAAUGGGCGAAAGCCUGAUCCAGCCAUGCCGCGUGUGUGAAGAAGGUCUUCGGAUUGUAAAGCACUUUAAGUUGGGAGGAAGGGCAGUAAGCUAAUACCUUGCUGUUUUGACGUUACCGACAGAAUAAGCACCGGCUAACUCUGUGCCAGCCGCCGCGGUAAUAC